rnacentral:misc_RNA from 1 species
AGCAGCCGCGGUAAUUCCAGCUCCAAUAGCGUAUAUUAAAGUUGUUGCAGUUAAAAAGCUCGUAGUUGAAUUUCGGGAUCAAUACGUCGGUCGUGCUUCGGUACGUACUGGCGUAAUUGAUUUCUCCCUUCUGACGAACCAUGAUGUCAUUAACUUGGUGUCAUGGGAAAUCAGGACUGUUACUUUGAAAAAAUUAGAGUGUUUAAAGCAGGCUCACGCUUGAAUACAUUAGCAUGGAAUAAUGAAAUAGGACGUUCGAUCCUAUUUUGUUGGUUUUUAGGAUCAACGUAAUGAUUAAUAGGGAUAGUUGGGGGCAUUAGUAUUCAAUUGUCAGAGGUGAAAUUCUUGGAUUUAUUGAAGACUAACUACUGCGAAAGCAUUUGCCAAGGAUGUUUUCAUUAAUCAAGAACGAAAGUUAGGGGAUCGAAGACGAUCAGAUACCGUCGUAGUCUUAACCAUAAACUAUGCCGACUAGGGAUCGGAUGAUGUUAAUU